CCUACGGGAGGCAGCAGUGGGGAAUGUUGCGCAAUGGGCGAAAGCCUGACGCAGCGACGCCGCGUGAGGGAUGAAGGUCUUCGGAUCGUAAACCUCUGUCAGCAGGGAAGAACGGUCACUGUGCUAAUCAGCAGUGAAUUGACGGUACCUGCAAAGGAAGCACCGGCUAACUCCGUGCCAGCAGCCGCGGUAAUACGUAGGGGGCAAGCGUUAUCCGGAUUUACUGGGUGUAAAGGGGGCGCAGACGGCAAUGCAAGCCAGGAGUGAAAGCCCGGGGCCCAACCCCGGGACUGCUCUUGGAACUGCAUGGCUGGAGUACAGGAGGGGCAGGCGGAAUUCCUAGUGUAGCGGUGAAAUGCGUAGAUAUUAGGAGGAACACCGGUGGCGAAGGCGGCCUGCUGGACUGUGACUGACGUUGAGGCCCGAAGGCGUGGGGAGCAAACAGGAUUAGAUACCCCUGUAGUC
rnacentral:rRNA from 1 species